UGUGUGUGUGUGUUUGUGUUUGAGAAAUGGUCUUUCCUCCAUGCAUUUGUCACGUGUGUGUGUGUGUGUGUGUGUGUGUGUGUGUGUUUGGUGCGUGUGUGUGUGUGUGUGCUACGUGUUUGUGCAUGUGUUAGGUAUGUGUGUGUGUGUGUGUGUGUGUGUGUGUGUGUGUGUGUGUGUGUGUGUGUGUGUGUG